CUAUCACGGUUGUGGCAUUUGUGGUAGGUAGUUCACGCCGCCCGGAUAUGUUGCCUCCCCAUCCAUUGUCGCCUCCCUUACACCGCGUGCUCUCCCUAGUGGCUUGCUUCUCCCUUACCUCGUGCACCUCUCCCCUGUGGCUCGCUCCUCACCGCCCUCGUGUGCUUCUCCCCGGUGGCUUGCUCCUUUCCUGCCUCGCCCUGCUCCCUAGCCCAUCUAUCGUGGCCUCCCCUACACCAAUACAUGCUAGAUCCACCACCUCCUCACCCAUCGUCAUCUCCACUGGCUGAGGCAUCCAUUGUGACAUUAGCGUUAGCAUUGGACACGUCUGGU
rnacentral:lncRNA from 7 species